GGGCUGCUAAUACCAAAUAAGCUCCCACUACUGCGGUAGUGAGGGAAAAGAGGGGGAUCCUUCGGGACCUUUUGCCAUGGGAUGAGCUCGCGGCCCAUUAGGUAGUUGGUGGGGUAAUGGCCUACCAAGCCGACGAUGGGUAGCUGGUCUGAGAGGGCGAUCAGCCACACUGGAACUGAGACACGGUCCAGACUCCUGCGGGAGGCAGCAGUGGGGAAUCUUGCGCAAUGGACGAAAGUCUGACGCAGCCAUGCCGCGUGGGCGACGAAGGCCUUCGGGUUGUAAAGCCCUGUCCAGGGGGACGAACAUCUCUGUGUGUAAUAUACAUAAAGACUGACGGUACCCCUGAAGAAAGCACCGGCUAACUCCGUGCCAGCAGCCGCGGCAAUACGGAGGGUGCGAGCGUUGUUCGGAAUCACUGGGCGUAAAGCGCGUGUAGGCGGUGACGCAAGUCGGGGUGUGAAAGCCCUUGGCUCAACCAAGGAACUGCGCUCGAAACUGC
rnacentral:rRNA from 1 species